rnacentral:rRNA from 1 species
UGGUGGAGUGAUUUGUCUGGUUAAUUCCGUUAACGAACGAGACCUUAUCCUGCUAAAUAGUGCUAGGAAAUUCUUUCCUGGUCACUUCUUAGAGGGACUUCGUGUGUUUAACACGAGGAAGCUUGAGGCAAUAACA